UAGGGAAUCUUCGGCAAUGGACGGAAGUCUGACCGAGCAACGCCGCGUAAGUGAAGAAGGUUUUCGGAUCGUAAAGCUCUGUUGUAAGAGAAGAACGAGUGUGAGAGUGGAAAGUUCACACUGUGACGGUAUCUUACCAGAAAGGGACGGCUAACUACGUGCCAGCAGCCGCGGUAAUACGUAGGUCCCGAGCGUUGUCCGGAUUUAUUGGGCGUAAAGCGAGCGCAGGCGGUUAGAUAAGUCUGAAGUUAAAGGCUGUGGCUUAACCAUAGUACGCUUUGGAAACUGUUUAACUUGAGUGCAAGAGGGGAGAGUGGAAUUCCAUGUGUAGCGGUGAAAUGCGUAGAUAUAUGGAGGAACACCGGUGGCGAAAGCGGCUCUCUGGCUUGUAACUGACGCUGAGGCUCGAAAGCGUGGGGAGCAAACAGGAUUAGAUACCCUGGUAGUCCACGCCGUAAACGAUGAGUGCUAGGUGUUAGACCCUUCCCGGGGUUUAGUGCCGCAGCUAACGCAUUAAGCACUCCGCCUGGGGAGUACGACCGCAAGGUUG
rnacentral:rRNA from 1 species